GACGAACGCUGGCGGCGUGCUUAAUACAUGCAAGUCGAACGAAACUUCUUUAUCAUCGUGUGCUUGUACUCACCGAUAAAGAGUUGAGUGGCGAACGGGUGAGUAACACGACGGUAACCUGCCCAUAAGAGGGGGAUACUACUAGGAAAUAGGUGCUAAUACCGCAUAACGAUAGUUACCGCAUGGUACCUUUGUAAAUGGUGGCUCUACUACUGAUCUUGGUUGGGCCCGCGGCGCUUACGAUAGCUGGUAGGGUUAAGCGUUACCAAGGCGAUGAUGCGUAGCCGAAGUGAGAGGUUGAUCGGCCACAUUGGAACUGGAACACGGCCCAAGCUCCUGCGAGACGCAGCAGUAGGGAAUCUGCCGCAGUAGGCGAGAACCUGAUGGAACGGCGCCGCGUGGGUGGAAGAGAUCUUCGGAGCGGAAAGCCCUGUUGUUGGAUGAGAAAGUGCGUGAGAGUAACUGUUCACGUUUCGACGGUAUCUAACCAAGAAGCCACGGCUAACUACGUG
rnacentral:rRNA from 1 species